rfam:Myotis lucifugus cont2.14037, whole genome shotgun sequence.
GAGACACCCUUAUGGGGCAGGACUUGCUUCAGUGGGGCUUUGGUGCUCACUGAGUUUGCCUCUUGAGUGUGUCACU